rnacentral:rRNA from 1 species
AGUGAACGCUGGCGGUAGGCCUAACACAUGCAAGUCGAACGGCAGCACAGUAAGAGCUUGCUCUUACGGGUGGCGAGUGGCGGACGGGUGAGGAAUACAUCGGAAUCUACUUUUUCGUGGGGGAUAAUGUAGGGAAACUUACGCUAAUACCGCAUACGACCUACGGGUGAAAGCAGGGGAUCUUCGGACCUUGCGCGAUUGAAUGAGCCGAUGUCGGAUUAGCUAGUUGGCGGGGUAAAGGCCCACCAAGGCGACGAUCCGUAGCUGGUCUGAGAGGAUGAUCAGCCACACUGGAACUGAGACACGGUCCAGACUCCUACGGGAGGCGGGAGUGGGGAAUAUUGGACGAUGGGCGCAAGCCUGAUCCAGCCAUACCGCGUGGGUGAAGAAGGCCUUCGGGUUGUAAAGCCCUUUUGUUGGGAAAGAAAAGCAGCAGGUUAAUACCCCGCUGUUCUGACGGUACCCAAAGAAUAAGCACCGGCUAACUUCGUG